GCGGGUGUAGCUCAAUGGUAGAGCAGUAGCUUCCCAAGCUUCAGACGAGGGUCCGAUUCCCUUCACCCGCUCCA
rnacentral:tRNA from 2 species